rnacentral:rRNA from 1 species
AGUGAACGCUGGCGGUAGGCCUAACACAUGCAAGUCGAACGGCAGCACAGUAAGAGCUUGCUCUUACGGGUGGCGAGUGGCGGACGGGUGAGGAAUACAUCGGAAUCUACUUUUUCGUGGGGGAUAACGUAGGGAAACUUACGCUAAUACCGCAUACGACCUACGGGUGAAAGCAGGGGAUCUUCGGACCUUGCGCGAUUGAAUGAGCCGAUGUCGGAUUAGCUAGUUGGCGGGGUAAAGGCCCACCAAGGCGACGAUCCGUAGCUGGUCUGAGAGGAUGAUCAGCCACACUGGAACUUGGACACGGUCCAGACGCCUACGGGAGGCAGCAGUGGGGAAUAUUGGACAAUGGGCGCAAGCCUGAUCCAGCCAUACCGCGUGGGUGAAGAAGGCCUUCGGGUUGUAAAGCCCUUUUGUUGGGAAAGAAAAGCAGCAGGUUAAUACCCCGCUGUUCUGACGGUACCCAAAGAAUAAGCACCGGCUAACUUCGUG